rnacentral:misc_RNA from 1 species
AAGUCGUAACAAGGUUUCCGUAGGUGAACCUGCGGAAGGAUCAUUAGUGAAAUUUAGGGCGUUCUCUCUGAGAAGCCUGACCUCCACUCUCCAACUCUGUGCACCUAAAUAAGCGAGAUUCACUUCUCUGCUUCCUUAAUUUUUUUAUACCCGAGUCAAAGAAUGUAACAAAACAACCAUAACAAAAAAAAACUUUCAACAACGGAUCUCUUGGCUCUC